AUUGAACGCUGGCGGCAUGCCUAACACAUGCAAGUCGAACGGCAGCACGGAGCUUGCUCCCGUUUCCAGCGGCGGACGGGUGAGUAAUGCAUAGGAACCUCCCUGUCAGUGGGGGAUAACGUCCGGAAAUUGGCGCUAAUACCGCAUACUCUCUGAGGAGGAAAGUGGGGGAUCAUCGGACCUUCCGCUCUUGGAUGAGCCGAUGUCGGAUUAGCUAGUUGGUGGGGUAAAGGCCUACCAAGGCGACGAUCCGUAGCUGGUCUGAGAGGAUGAUCAGCCACACUGGAACUGAGACACGGUCCAGACUCCUACGGGAGGCAGCAGUGGGGAAUAUUGGACAAUGGGCGAAAGCCUGAUCCAGCCAUGCCGCGUGAGUGAAGAAGGCCUUCGGGUUGUAAAGCUCUUUAGGUUGGGAAGAAAUGCAGUAAGUUAAUACCUUGCUGGUAUGACGGUACCAAAAGAAUAAGCACCGGCUAACUUCGUG
rnacentral:rRNA from 1 species